GAGGUUUUAGCUCAGUGGUAGAGCGUGUGCUUAGCAUGCAUGAGGUCCUGGGUUCAAUCCCCGGGACCUCC
rnacentral:tRNA from 1 species